CAGCCGCCACGGUAAUACGAACCGUCCGAACGUUAUUCGGAAUCACUGGGCUUAAAGCGCGUGUAGGCGGGCCGGCACGUCCGAUGCUGAAAUCCCCCGGCUUAACCGGGGAAGUGGCACGGAUACGACCGGCCUGGAGGGAGGUAGGGGGGCCUGGAACUUCCGGUGGAGCGGUGAAAUGCGUUGAGAUCGGAAGGAACGCCCGUGGCGAAAGCGAGGCCCUGGACCUUUUCUGACGCUGAGACGCGAAAGCCAGGGGAGCGAACGGGAUUAGAUACCCCCGUAGUCCCUGUCUCUUAUU
rnacentral:rRNA from 1 species